GUUGCUUUAGGUGCUCUGGGAGUCUGGUUUUGAGACUUGUUUAUGUGUCUUCUCAUUUUGACAGGGGUGGGGGUGUUGAUGGUGCCUGUACGGUUCACCUCCUGUGUGCUGAGGGGGGUGGUAUGGCAGCCCAGAAGCCUCCUCCUGGGCACUGGGAGCAGUUCACCUCCUGUGUGUUGGGGGAAGGAGUGGUACGGCAGCCCGGAAGCCUCUUCCUGGGCGCUGGGAGUGGCUCACCUCCUGUGCACUCAAAGUUGAGGAUUCUUUGCAAGAGAGUCUUGCCAUGCCCAGAAUCCAAGCACUAUAACUUGGUAGUGGGCAGAGCUACCCCAUCAGAUGUUUUUCUUGUCAGAGAGCAUACUCUUUCACCCCUAAGGCAACUAAAAGCCCAGAUACCACACAAAACCUUGAGAAAUGUGUGCUUUUUUGGUCUUUGUAGCAAUUAGGAUUCUGACCACAUAUUUAUUGGAGAAGAGCUUUCUCUUUCAACUGAAGAUCUCUCCAAUCUCUUAAAUUUUGCCAAGAAUAAUAGUGUUUCUGAAGGAGGACAGUCCAACAAUAUUAUUAUUUCACUCUGGUCAAGGAAUCUUCCCAUUCAAAAACAAACAUGUUCUGGAAGUCAGGGCCCAAGGAAAUACAAAAAAAAAGUUGCAUCUUUGGGUCCACCACUAUCAUCUUAGGACAAGGUGAUAAGUAAGGUACAAGUGUUGGGCAUCAAUGGAUGGAUGGCUGUCCCUGUCUGUUUAAUUUUCCUUAAAUUCUGCAUAAAGACUCCCUCCCAUGUGUCUGGCUUUUGCAGUGUUGAAUUUAGGCUCUUACAUGGGCCUAGCAAGAACCAAUGAGUAUAUAUUCCAUAAGGCAGUAAAUCAAGGCUGAGUACUUCACAUAUCUGUGAAAUAGGUGAUGGCUCAACCUUUGGAUUUUUCAUCCAAAAUGGAUUUCACCAUGGACAGACCUGGUGUCCUUGCUUGUCCCUCCCCUCUAUCGCAACGUACAUCCAGUUUCAUCUCUUUGGAGAUUUCUCUGGGAUGUCGUGCAAGCUUCUGAUUUGGGCAGUUGUUGGUGAUGAUUCAUGCCAGGCAUCCACACAGUGGAGCAUCUUCUCAUGAUUUUCUGGGUAUAUUUCCUUUUUUUUAGUGCAACAUGGGCAAGUUAGUGAGACCCUGUAUACAAAUUAAACACUUAAAAAAGACAGGAAAAGUAGAUCAGUGUGAAGAACGUGGCUUCAAUCUCCAGUAGAGGUGGUAGGGGGGAGGGGAGAUACAAACAAAACUAACAAGAGCGAAGCAAAGUGUAAUGCACAUACAAAACAUGUGCAGCAAGCCCAAGUAGCCAGCUUGAUGUGUACUCACAAUGUGCACACACUGUCUAUCUGCCACCCAGGUGUUACAGGGGGCCUUCAUAAUACCCCAGGAGCUUCUGUUGGGUCUCUUAGUCUUUGUUUUCAACCUUUUUAUUUUUCAUUUAAUUAUUGUGAUUACCAGUGAUAGGAUAUUAUUAUUCUGGUAAUGCUGGAGAUUGAACCCAGGGCCUUGCUCACACUCAUGUUCCACCACUGACCUAAAAACUAGCCUGGGAGGAUUUUAAAAACUUCUUUGAUGGAUUCUGCACUCUGGCUUCCAAGAUCCUGGGCAUCCCUUCACAGCCAAAUUCUGUGGGCUUUUUUCAGCCUUGUGGCAUGUGGUCCCACACACUUAGCAUUCUAGAAACUUCCCUGUCUGGCCUCUGUAACUGCCUGUCUGUGUUCCUCCAGGUCCUCUCCACUUUCUGUUUCCUUCUUCUGGACAUGUGUGUGGACAGGGUGUUCCCCUUGGUCCGGGCUUUAGCCUCCUCUUCAAGCUGUGACUGGUCCUGGUGUGUGCUGACCCUAUGCCCCUCUCCAAGCUCCAUACCUCUCUCCAGAGCUACACACUUGUGCCAACUUCCACUGGACUUCCCACUGGGAUCCCUCGGGGCAUGUCAUCCCCAACAGCCCCAGCUCUGUCUCAUCAUCCCUCCUGCCCAAGGAUGUUUCAGUCACAUUCUCUGUCAGCUUAAAGAUCAACAUCACCUGCAUGGACGCUUCACCCAAAACCCUGGCAACAUCGGAGAUGUCUCCUCUCAGAUGGUAGCAUUCCAUCUCCUUAGCAUCCCUGGAACCUGUCCUCUUUCAUACCUCACUUUUCCCUGCCUAAAUCUUCAUCAUCUUUUUCUUGAAUAGCUUAUUUCUCAUUCAUAUGACUGUUUAGCAGCAUAAUUAAUUGUAAGCAGAUUGAAGCCAUGUCCUCAAGUAUAAAGAGUGAGAUGAAAGAAUAUGAUUGGGGAAGAGGGUUCCCUGUAGGGAAGACUUCUCUGAAGAGGCCUCUCUGAGGCCUGAAGCAGGAGUGAGCUAAACCUCAAAACCUUUAGACAGCAGAUUCAUGGUUCACUGUGUGGUCUUCAGGUCUUCAAGCUGCCACUCCCUGUAAAUAUUGAGUACUUUAAUCUCAUCAAAUGCUUAAGACUCAAAAACAAAAGCCAUAUGAUAUUUCCUUCCUGUCAAUGUACCUGAUCCCAUCUGUUAAGAAAAGAUUAUUUAAUAAUAUUAGUUAAAGUACAGUAAGACUUUACCCAGGACCUUCGAGACAGGCAUAGGGACCACUGAUGCAGGGUCUUACUGUGGGGACAGCCGAGGCUCAACUCUGAGUGCAGCCUGGGCACAGGGGAUUCACAGCCAAGAGCAGGUGGGGUCAGCGGAUGGAAAGUCACUUUGGAGAUUCUGUAACCUGUGACAAGCCUCUUCCUGUGGGCAGGCCAGAGUGACCAGGCUUCACUGGGGGACCUGAUGGAACGUGAGGGGAGAUCCGAUCCAAGGGUGGAGAGGGCCUCGCUUUGUAGUCUAGGAUGACCUUGACCUUCCGGUGAUUCUCCUGCCUCAGCCUCCCAAGUGCUGGGGUCACAGUCAAAUACGGAGGAGCGCAAAAGAUCUGUCCACACACUAGAGACCUAAAGAAUACAGCUGAGGGCCUGGAUCCCACAGCAGUGUCCCCCUCGAGUCCAGCCAGAGCUCUAGAGUCCACGGCAGUGUCUCAUGCAAGUCCGUAUCGAGGAUCUGCAUCAGGAAGGCCCAACGGCCAGUCGUGGAAGCCAGAAAGUCUGCACCGUGAGGUGAAGGGUCUAUGCGACCAGGCUGAGGGAUCUGCACUGGAGCCCUGACGUGAUGCUCAGGGUGAGGACCCGAGCUCCUCAGAUGAUAACAGCUGAGUUCGUAUCAGGAAAACCAGCCACGGAAAGCUUCUCCAGAAAAAUCAACAGUAUACAGUAUUCCCCUCCAGUUCUCCUUCUACGCACUGGCAACAAUCCUCAGGUGGGUCUUCCAACCCAGAGGCACACUGACUCAGUUCGGCUGCUUCCAAGUUGACUAUUAGUUCACCACACAUCUUUUAAAAAAUAUUUUGCCCCUGAUAUAUUUUUCUCUUUUUUAUUUUUAGCUUUAUUUUGUGUGGGUUUCUAAUAAUAAUUCAGGAGACAUUUUUAUUUUUUAAACGAUUAUUUAAAACUUCGCAAUCUAGUAACUGUUUAACUUAUUCACGCGUCAUGCUUUUUCCAAAUUUGUAUCAGAGUAUUUUUCCCCUCUCAUUCUUAUACUUUCCUGCUAUUUUUAUUUUUUUCUUUUGUUAAUUUGAAAUAGUUUCUUUGCUUUUUAUCUUAGUGAUUUGGAAUCUACUCAAGAGAUGUGAUUCUACAAUAUCUCGUUAUUGUUUUUUAAUAUAUUGACCUCUAUUUUCCAAGAAUAAAACAGUAUCGUUUUGAAAUGACAGACCACGUUUUAAAGCAACGUUUGUUAGCUUACACUUGCUGGGUGGUCUGUGUGUAAAUCAAUUUUGUUCUGGUUCAGUUUAUGAAAGCAGGAGCUCGGGAUAGGAGGAGCUGAGCAGCAGAGGGCUGCGUGCACACCUCUUCGUGGUCCUCGCCGGCGUGGGGACACUGUCCUGUCCCGGCCUCACCUCGGUCCGCCCAGCCCGGUCUGUGCAGAGAGCGAUCGCUGCCGGCUGAGGCGCCCUCUCCAGGAGGUCAAAGGGAGCGGGACGGAAGCGCGCUCGGCCUGCGCAGUGUGCAAAUGUGUUCCCUGGGUGCGCAGGAGCCAGCGGCGCUGUUCUGCUUGUCUUUAGACUGCAAAAGUCAAGCUCAGGAGGGCCACAGCUGUCCAAGGUCUCAGGCUAGCCCGGCCCCCCGGACGAACCCCAGAGCCAGAGGCACAGCAGAGGCCUGACGCCGUGCCCAGGGCUACUCAACUGCCCCCUGUACGGAUUCCAGUGCGACUAACACCCGCCUGGGGAGAUCUGUCACUCCGCGAGCUCUGCACCCGCGCAGGGCCUGGGGCAGCACCGAGCCCGCCAUCGUCCUUCUGGUUCGGACGCGUUGCUCCAUUUGUCCAGCAGGUGGCGCCACACAACCGCCGGAAUCCGUGGCUUCCCAGCUCACUUUGAGAAUUAAG